ensembl:lncRNA
GGCGGAGGGGCCCGGCGGGAACAAACAGCCGCCGCCGCGGGAGCGCUGCUCGGGUGGCCGGAGGCAGAUCCUCCUCUAGCCCAUCCCGCAAACCCUCGCUCCCUGGAGCCGCUGCCUUCACUGCGCUCAGCCCUGGAUGGUAAGGGUUCACGCGGGUGCCAGCUGGAGCUGGGAGCAGCAGCGAUAGUCCCCCACCCGUCAUCUCCCCAAGGCAGCGCCCGGGCCACCGAGGCCGAAGCGCGGUUGGAGCCGCACCAGCGGAGCCUGAGACGCCGGGACCAAAGCCGCCAGAGCGGGGCCCGAAGGAACCCGAGCGGCUUCCGGCCCAAGGCGAGACGCGCUUAAGUGAUCGCAAGGAACAAAGUUGGCGUUCUCAGCCUCGGGCCUCGGAGAGGGGCGAGUAAAUAUUGCUGGACCUGAGUCCUUUGGAGCUGCUGUGGAGCCGCGGAAGCCAAGCUAUAGGAGACCAGCCAGAGUCCCAGCUCUGCCGCGCGGGAGCUGGGGACGGAUUCCAGGGAAACAGCGACCUCUGGAGGAGCCGCGCAGACACGCAAUGAGGCAGGGACUGGAAGACCAGGUCUGGGAUCAAAGCGCCCCUUCCCCACCCUUCUUGGCAAAAUCAUUCAGAAGCUUAUAACCUCUGGACUCCUCUUUGCGCAUGCUUGUUUCCUUUCCCAGCUUGUACCCAAGCUUCAAAUCCUGGCUCAAAUCCUGCCUUCUUGAGAGCCCAAUUCAUCUUUCCCUCUUCUUGCUCUGAGCUCCUAAGAACCUAAAGCCUGAACCCUCAACUCUAGCGCUCUACCGCACUAGGCAAUGAUCUUUCUCCAAAGAAAGGGUCAUUAGUCCAUCCACUCCACCCACCCUUUGCAUUCCAUGCUGAAUGUGCUUCCUCCCCGCUUCACCACCAGUAAAUAAAAAAUGAAAUCAUGAAUCCCAAAAUUGGACUGUCGAUUGUCAAAGUUCGUUUCUUAGAUGGGGAAAUUGAGACCCAUUUUCAAGUCAGAGAGAGGGCUGACUUGCCCCAGGUCACACAGGAAAGGUGGAACUAGAUCCCAUGUCCCAGCCCAGAGCCCUCUCCAUUUCACCAGAAUAGGAAGGGAAAAUGCCAGAAGGAACUUGUGUGUUCCUGUGUAGAGGCGGG